AUGCGAGGCACCACUGUACCAUGAUCAUGAAAGUGGUUUUCCCAGGGUGAGGCUCAUCCAUUGCACUUCAGGUGUGCUGAUCCCUGUGAUUUCCCCAAAUGUGGGGAACUCAACUGCAUAAUUUGUGGUAGUGGGGGAUUGCAUUUGUGCCUUCCUUGG
rnacentral:snRNA from 1 species